AUGAACGCUAGCGACAGGCUAACACAUGCAAGUCGAGGGGUAACAGGGUAGCAAUACCGCUGACGACCGGCGCACGGUGAGUAACGCGUAUGCAACCUGCCUAUAACUGGGGAAUAGCUCCCUGAAAGGGGGAAUUAACACCGCAUAACACUAUUGAUUCGCAUGGAUUAGUAGUUAAAUGUAGCGAUACAGGUUAUAGAUGGGCAUGCGUGACAUUAGCUAGUUGGUGAGGUAACGGCUCACCAAGGCUACGAUGUCUAGGGGUUCUGAGAGGGAGGUCCCCCACACUGGUACUGAGACACGGACCAGACUCCUACGGGAGGCAGCAGUGAGGAAUAUUGGUCAAUGGGCGCAAGCCUGAACCAGCCAUGUCGCGUGCAGGAAGAACCUGCCCUAUGGGUUGUAAACUGCUUUUAUAGUAGAAGAAACACAUCUACGUGUAGAUGUCUGCCAGUAUACUAUGAAUAAGCAUCGGCUAACUCCGUGCCAGCCGCGGC
rnacentral:rRNA from 1 species